CAGCCGCCGCGGGAACACGAAGGGUGCAAGCGUUACUCGGAAUUACUGGGCGUAAAGCGUGUGUAGGUGGUUGUUUAAGUCUGUCGUGAAAGCCCUGGGCUCAACCUGGGAAUUGCGAUGGAUACUGGGCGACUAGAGUGCGGUAGAGGAUAGUGGAAUUUCCGGUGUAGCAGUGAAAUGCGUAGAGAUGUGGAGGAACACCAGUGGCGAAGGCGACUCUCUGGUCUGUAACUGACGCUGAGGAGCGAAAGCGUGGGGAGCGAACAGGAUUAGAGACCCCGGUAGUCCCUGUCUCUUAUAC
rnacentral:rRNA from 1 species